rnacentral:tRNA from 1 species
GGGCGAGUGGCGGAAUGGCAGACGCUGGAGAUUUAAAAUCUCCUGCCCGAAAGGGCGUGCGGGUUCGACUCCCGCCUCGCCCA